rnacentral:rRNA from 1 species
AUUGAACGCUGGCGGCAUGCUUUACACAUGCAAGUCGAACGGUAACAGGCCGCAAGGUGCUGACGAGUGGCGCACGGGUGAGUAAUGCAUCGGAACGUGCCCAGUCGUGGGGGAUAACUACUCGAAAGAGUAGCUAAUACCGCAUACGAUCUAUGGAUGAAAGCGGGGGACCGUAAGGCCUCGCGCGAUUGGAUCGGCCGAUGUCAGAUUAGGUAGUUGGUGGGGUAAAGGCUCACCAAGCCAACGAUCUGUAGCUGGUCUGAGAGGACGACCAGCCACACUGGGACUGAGACACGGCCCAGACUCCUACGGGAGGCAGCAGUGGGGAAUUUUGGACAAUGGGCGCAAGCCUGAUCCAGCAAUGCCGCGUGCAGGAAGAAGGCCUUCGGGUUGUAAACUGCUUUUGUACGGAACGAAACGGCUCUGGUUAAUACCCGGGGCUAAUGACGGUACCGUAAGAAUAAGCACCGGCUAACUACGUG